rnacentral:rRNA from 1 species
UACGUAGGGUGCAAGCGUUAAUCGGAAUUACUGGGCGUAAAGCGUGCGCAGGCGGUUUUGUAAGACCGAUGUGAAAUCCCCGGGCUUAACCUGGGAACUGCAUUGGUGACUGCAAGGCUUGAGUGUGUCAGAGGGAGGUGGAAUUCCGCGUGUAGCAGUGAAAUGCGUAGAUAUGCGGAGGAACACCGAUGCGAAGGCAGCCUCCUGGGAUAACACUGACGCUGAGACGCGAAAGCGUGGGGAGCGAACAGG